GAAGAGAAGAAGAAGGCAGGAGCAGGGGUGACAUCAGAAGAGCGGCAUAGUUUUGUUGCUUGUGAGAGCGUUGCCGUGCAUGCCGAAUAUUUGCUUUUAACUAUUUAUGCAGUAAUAUUGAUCAGAGUUAAGGACUAGUAAAUAUAUAUAUUCAUGAGAAGAGGAUGAUGAUGGUCAAGAGGACGGUUUGCCGUGUUGGAGGAGAGUUGGUGGACGCAGGUCAGGAGGGCGUGGGUUCAUCGUCGGAGGAGAUGGACUGUUCGCCUAGAUCAGUUCUGCUUCCCAUAACCAAAAAUAGAAUAUAUAAUCAUAUAGCAGGGAGUCAUAGUAGUAGCAGUAGUAGUAGUAAUAGGUACGGGACGACCACCACCACCACCACAUCCAGAAACAACGUUGGAGACGGAUUCAGUUUGCUGCAUAGCCAGAUAAGGAGGAUCAGAGAUGAGGAUUCCCACAUAGGAGAGGACAUUCAUGCGGAUGUGCUUCUUAACCUGUUUGGUUGUUCUGAUGAUGAUAAUAAUAAUAAUAAUAAGCACGAGGUUGGCGUUGUGAUGGAGCUGUCGAAGCGGCCAGCAGCCUUGCCGGCUUCACCUCUCAGUACUGGAAACAAUAGUACUUCUGCCGUCCGUCCAGGCUGCUGACUAAAUCAAAACUUUAGCUUUAUGAUGUCUGGUAAGGUUCAAUCGAUACACUCAGGCGGUUGGUGGUGGAAGGAGAGAGAGAGAGAGAGAGGUGAUUGUGUAUGUAAAUGUAAUAGGCAGUAGAGAGGUUAUUUACUAUCUGUACAGUUUUGGUUUUAAACUGAAUGAUGCUACUAUUGCUAUUGUACA